rnacentral:lncRNA from 1 species
CUUAGAGGUAGACAUCACCUUGUGACUCAACAGCAGCCAAUAAGAUGGAAAUAAAGGCCAUGAAGUUAUCGGAUGGCAUCUACAAGGAAUACUUAGAUGAGGAGGUGACUCUGGUAGCAAUUGUUCUUUUGUCUUUCUCACCUUCCUUCUUGUCCUGUCUGGGAUGCUGAAGUGAUGGCUGGUAUACAGAUGCCCUGUUGUGAUGUUGAGAUAAACAUGAGAAUAAAAGUCGGCGAUUACAGAUGGCAGAGAAGAGAGAGAAAGAUAGGAUGUAGGUGGAUAUUGACGGAACUAAGUUUCUAUUGCACAAGUUCUACCACCAACCUCUGGACUUCAUGAUAUGUGAGGGAGAAAUAAACUCCUAUUUUAGAAGAGAUCUAUGUUACCUGCAACUGAACGGAAUGCUUAAUUGGCACAUCCUAUGUGCUCCAAACCUUCCUUAAUUUCUGUGUGUAAGGCAUACUUAGUCUUUACCCAUUAUUCUGUUCACAUUCAUUCACUUGAUCAGCCUCCCAACUCUAUGGUAAAGAGUUUACUACAGUUUACUCUAUUAGUAAGGGAGAUUCUGGAGCAAGCCCCACAAAUCAUAGAUUGAAUACCCAUUCAUUAAGAGAGAGAUUUAAAGAUACUUCUAUCCAAACACAUUUUAAAUUUCCAGCACCUUUGAGGUGGUGGAGGUUCAUGGUGGUUGAUAGGGUUUAAAUGACUUGUGAUUCAAGCUCCAUAUUACAAUGUAACAGUGCAAAAGUUCAUUUUUUUAAAUUUAUUUUACUUUAAGUUCUGGUAUACAUGUGUAGAACAUGCGGGUUUGUUACAUAGGUAUACAUGUGCCAUGGUGGUUUGCUGCACCUAUCAAACCGUCACCUAGGUUUUAAGAACCACAUGCAUUAGGUAUUUGACCUAAUGCUCUCCCUCAUGUUGCCCCCCAACUCCCUGACAGGGCCCAGUGUGUGAUGUUCCCCUCCCUGUGUCCAUGUGUUCUCAUUGUUCAACUCCCACUUAUGAGUGAGAACAUGUGGUGUUUGAUUUUCUGUUCCUGUGUUAGUUUGCUGAGAAUGAUGGCUUCCAGCUUCAUCCAUGUCCCUGCAAAGGACACGAACUCAUUCUUUUUUAUGGCUUCAUAAUAUUCCAUGAGUCUGGAUUUGGUUACAGAUAGAGCUGGACAAGCCUUAGCUAUAUCUAAUGGCUUUUGACAUGUUAUAUCAAUUUCUUACUGCUUUUGUAAAUGAAUAUAUUAAGAAGAAAAAAUUACAAAUGACCCUUUCUUCACAAACUUUUAG